AAGUCGUAACAAGGUUUCCGUAGGUGAACCUGCGGAAGGAUCAUUAAUAAAUGCUUCAUUGCAUCCACCUUUUGUGCACUGUAAAUAUUUCACUUGAAUUUUGUCUGAUUAAUCUUUGUUCUGGAAGGAACAUGAAUUAUAAUCUAAUACAACUUUUAACAAUGGAUCUCUUGGCUCUC
rnacentral:misc_RNA from 1 species